CACGUAGGGCGCAAGCGUUGUCCGGAAUUAUUGGGCGUAAAGAGCUCGUAGGCGGUCUGUUACGUCUGCUGUGAAAACCCGGGGCUUAACCCUGGGCUUGCAGUGGAUACGGGCAGACUAGAGGCAGGUAGGGGAGAAUGGAAUUCCCGGUGUAGCGGUGAAAUGCGCAGAUAUCGGGAGGAACACCGGUGGCGAAGGCGGUUCUCUGGGCCUGACCUGACGCCGAGGAGCGAAAGCGUGGGGAGCGAACAGG
rnacentral:rRNA from 1 species